rnacentral:lncRNA from 1 species
CAAGGGAGGCUGCAGAGGGAAGAGAGCUGCAUCCGACUGGGCUCCAGGCAAGGUCACUGAAAGCUCUGGAUUAUACCCAGGCAGCACGGACACCGUAAUAUGCAAGCCCUGAAACUGCAGCGCCUGCUCCACUACACAGCAAAAUAGGUCCAGACCCAUGGCCCAUCUGGCUGAGACCUGGGGAGACAGGAUGCUGAGCCACAUGGGCAUCGAACCUCCAAGUUGUUCCCCCUCAGAUCUCCCCACCUCCCACCUCUUUUAUCAGCUGCUGACAAGACUUGCCAUGUGCGUAGGUGGCUCCCAAGCUUACAAGAUGAUUCCCCACACCCCCCACCCCUACUCAAAAGUGUUCAGGAUUUUGGAGGGGGGGGGGGGGGGGGGGGGGGGGGGGGGGGGGCAGAGCAUUCCUCCGUCUGCAAGAGAUGUGCGAUGCUUUCACAGUGCUCCAUGUGGUAACUCCCUCCCGGGAUUUCACAUGACAGCAUCUUCCAUGGAAAGUCACAGCAGGGAGUGGAAGAUUGUCAUGCAGUAUGUGUGGGUGUUACGAGAGAGCAGAGUAGGAUGAGAAGAUGGAGGGGAGAGGGGGUGUAACCAUAGAGCAAACCAGAAUCCUAUUGAAAGAGCCUUGAAUUCCCGAGCCCAAGGCUCCCCUCUCCUGUCUUUUGCUCUUCAUUUAAAAGAAUGCCAGUCCUUGUCAGUCCUGCAGAGAAAAGGGGAAUCAAACAGAAACAUCUCUUUGUUCCCUGAACACGUC